UGUAAAUAACACGAUCUUGGGGUUCAUGGUGUGUUCAGAUAUCCCGCAACAGCAAGUCAUUCAGACGAUCAGUGCUGCUCUCUUAGCAGGGGACACUCCUCAAGCAGGACUGGAUUAAUCCAUGGGAGCGAGCAGCUGAGCCGUGAGAAGCCAGAAAGCCUGAUGUGGUCCACCCCUUUCCCUGGAAUCACUCCUUUCCAUGUGGGCUGAAUGCCCACGUGCAGCUGUCUGAUCUCAGGAUUUCUAUCAUCCAGAGUAUUCUCUGGAAGCUCCAGCGGGGUUGGCCCAGCUCCUGGCUUCCUCUCCUGGCAACAGCCUCAGGUCUUUUUGAUGAAUUGAAUGAGAAGUGGAGCCCUCAGGUCCAGUCCUGAUCCUGCAGGUAAGCAGGUGCUUGCUCAUGAAGCUUACACAGAACUCAUGUGACCACGAAGCCAAGGUGGCCGAGAGAAGGCAGCUUCCUGGAAUCUCAGCCUUCCACCAGGCCAGGAGCCAGUCUGCUGCUUCUGUCUGCCUGUACCAAGCAUCUCCCUCAGAGGGAGGAGCCAUGGCCCCAGAAGAUGCUAAGCACUAAAGGAGGCCAUAUGCUUCUACCUUACCAGGUUUUCCGAUGCCCGUGGAGGUCAGAAGAGGGUACCGGACCAAUGGAAUUCAGGUGGCUGUGGUGAGCGCUGUGGGUUGUGAGAACUGAACCUGGGUCCUCUGUAAGAAGGACAAGAGCUCAUGACUGCUUAUCUUCUCUCUGGCCCCUCAUUUUACCUUCACGGGGUCUUGCGUGGCCCAGCCUCACCUCUGAGCUGCUGCUCAGAGAAGGUGGUGGAGAGACUUCAAAGAAUGAAACAAGAUGGCGUGACCCCGGGCCCUUUGAAACUGAGCCAGACCUGGAAUCCAGCCCCUGCCUGCUUUCUUCUGCACUGAAGAAUAAGGACCUUCUAAGCCUUGUGUAUCCGCUCUUCCUUAGCCUGGGAUCGGGGGUUCAAGACCAUUCUCGCCCACUACACAGCAUGUGUGGAGCUGGGCUGGUCACGUGAGAACCCUGCCUUAAUUAAUUAAUUAAUUAAUUAAUGAGUUU
rnacentral:lncRNA from 1 species